GUCUGUCCUUCGGUCCAGUCCUUCCGUCCAGUCCUUCUGUCUGUCCUUCGUUCCAGUUCUUCUGUCCAGUCCUUCUGUCUGUCCUUCUGGCUGUACUUCUGUCCAGUCCUUCUGUCCAGUCCUUCUGUCUGUUCUUCUGUCUGUCCUUCUGUCCUGUCCUUCUGUCUGUCCUGGCAGGGACACAGAGGGACUGACUGACUUUAACUAGGCCGGUGUGGAGAUGUGCUUUUAGAUGACAGGAGCUAACAGCUGCCUUACUGCUUUACCCUCUGACGUUUUGAUAGGGAGAAGUGAGCACAGCGAGGCCAGAGGACUGUUGCAGAGAGGUGCGCGUUCCAAUGUUCCCACAUUCUGAGUUGUGAGGUUCUAAGGUUCUAGUGCUCUAAUGUUCUAGUGCUCUAAGGUUCUAGUGCUCUAAGGUUCUAGUGUUCCGAGGUUCUAGUGCUCUAAGUGGCCUAAGGUUCUAGUGUUCUGAGGUUCUACGGCUCAAGUGUUCUGAGGUUCUAGUGUUCUAAGUUUCUAGUGUUCUACAGUUCUAGUGUUCUACAGUUUUAGUGUUCUGAGGUUAUAAGGUUCUAGUGUUCAGAGGUUCUACGGUUCAAGUGUUCUGAGGUUCUAGUGUUCUAAGGUUCUAGUGUUCUACAGUUUUAGUGUUCUGAGGUUAUAAGGUUCUAGUGUUCAGAGGUUAUAACCACCCCUUGCUGCAGGAAAGCGGAUGUACUGAACAUUAGCGGUCAGUCUUACUCUGUUAACCAAUUACCAUCAAUCUCAGCUCCCUCCAGCUAUCUCAUACCUCUAGCUCCUCCCACCUUUACCCAGGAGACAAGGCUUUGACACACUCCCAGUACAUGGGAGUGGUUUUUUGUUAUGGCUUUAGGGCUUGAGUCAAUUAGAGGCCGCUUUUGCUAACGUCCGCGUUUGUUUUGACGGGGUCAGAGGUGGAACUGCAUUAGAGCUGUCAAAUCCACAAGUGGCUCCCGGCAUUAUACCUAAAGCGGACAUUGCCAUUGGCUGCGCGGAGUCGCAUUAACAGAAAUCCCAUGCAGCCUUGUCUAUAAAUUCAACCACUGGAAUAUGAGAUGUAAUCAACACCUCCAUUAGGAUGAUAGAAAUCCUCAUUAUUUAGUUGAAUGAUUUUUCAAUUUGAGGGUCAUUAUUUCUAUAUAGCCUACACUUUCUUCUUCUGAACUUCUAACACCAGUGGAAAUGGGUGUGGCUUCAUGACAAUGAUCAAGAGCAGCUGCUCGCCGAUUGGACAGCUCCAACACAGUUCCACCCCUGACACGGCUAAAACAUCAGCUAUGCGGGUGUCGGCUCUCGCCGGUUAACACUUGAUCUGAUUGAGUCUAGGCCUUCGUUUGAGUUAUUUUUGUUGGUUACCUGCAGUCGUAGACAUGUAGUUAAAAAAAAAAAAAAAGUGAACUAAUACUGAUCGUCUUUGACAAGAGUCUUUUUAUUUUGGUAUCAUGAAUAAACAUCGUAACGAUUUUAUUCCUUCAUAAUGAGAAAAUUAUAUCCUAAUUUUAUUAAAUGUGCAAUAUGAUUUAUUUUUUUUAAGACGGAUUAUAUAUUUUGACAACAAAGGGUCUAGUCUAUUGAGCAUUUUAACUGUUUUAAAAAAUCUGCUUGUGUUAUUUUAUCAUACAACAGGAAAGAUAAGCAUAAUGAGUAGAUGGGGCAGGAAGAUUAACCGAAGGAUUUGAGGAAGGAAGCCACACUGCAGCGAGCCUUAGCUCUAUAUGACUGAAGGAUGAAAAGUCUUAUAAAUUAUGUCUUUUUUUUCAUCCAAAAGAUUAACUAUUAUUAUUAUUAGACAAUUGUGUAUGGGAUUUACUUUGAUUCUUCUUCUCUGCUUUCAAUGUUAAAACCACUUAGCUGUAAAGAGGAAGUAAAGCAGUUGGCUGAGUUUAGUCCAAUAAAACCCUGUUGUUAUUGUGAUAGGGGACUAAAGUCCUCCAGUGAGACUGAUGAGAGUGAAUGUCCUGAAUUGAUUCUCAGCACUAGAAUUUAUUCUAUUGAUUCUCAGAACUGGAAUUGAUUCUAGAAUUGAUUCUGUUGAUUCUUAUAACUAGAAUUGAUUCUAUUGAUUCUCAGAACUAGAAUUGAUUCUGUUGAUUCUUAUAACUAGAAUUGAUUCUAUUGAUUCUCAGAACUGGAAUUUAUUCUAGAAUUGAUUCUAUUGAUUCAAAGAAGAAAGUUGGUUUAGAAUUUAUUCAGGUUGAAUUCAGGGGAUAAUAUGGGUACCUAUGGUUAUGUGGUUAGGAGUGAUGCCUUUAAAAAAGUCAUGAACAGUCCUACUGUUUGUUUACCUCAGAAGAAGAUGAGGAAGAAAGGGGGGGCCUCGUUAGGAGACGAAGGACGUGUCUUAAUUGUGUACAGAGUGACCUGACUGUUGCAAUCAAAAGGAGGUGAUUUAUAAAACGUGCCACUACACUGUAACUGUUAGUCUGUGUUGCAGGAACAGCAUGAUUUUAUUUUAAUAUAAUACAAUAAAAAACAAACAAACAAAUGGAGUAUGUAAUAUAAAUAACAUUUGCUGUUAUCCAUUUCAAAAAUGAUUUAUUUAUUUGUUCAUCAGACAUGUUUUUGUUUUGAAUAUUUUGGUCUUUGUGAAAAAGGGACUGAAAAGUGGCAAGAUUGUUUUUUUUUCAGGCAAUUUCGUUUUUAGUAUCCUACUAGUUUGCAUGGUCUAUUGAUGAAACACGUGAUACAAGAGCCAGUAUGAAGUGCAGUACUCCAAGCCGCUUCUGACAUUGACUGGUCUGUGGAUUCUGAUUGGUCCUACAGUGUUCAUGUCAAGUACAAUCCACCACAAUAGAAGACAUUUAAAGCAAAGAAAAGAUGAAACAUUUUCUAACCGUAAAACAAUUCAACUUUACGUUGUGUUGAAUCUGUCUCAUUCAUGUAUGAACCACACCAAUGUACUGCAGUCUGCUAUAUACCCACCUGACAAUAACAGCCCUUCUCAUUGGGGAUCCUCCCUUUCCCCUGUUUCCACAGAGCAGGGUGAGAGUGGUAAUCUACCAGGAGUUAAAACAGGCAGUACUUGGGAUAUUAUUUUUAAUGCAACAUUGCAUAUUGGAAAGCUUUAUAUAUAGAAUAUAUACUAUUUGUAAAGAUUUCUACAGAGUAUAAUUCAGAAACUGGUAUAAAUUGGUAUUUUUCUAACAAUUUGCACACCUGUAUUUUUGACAAUGGAUAUAACAUGUUUGUAAUGGGUAAUGUAAUGCACAUACGGUAACAUUUGACAAAAAAUCAUUAUUUUUUAUGUGUUGUAGGAGUUGAUGUAUUAUUUGGAGGAGGACGUGAGAUGCAGUUUACACUUGUUUUGACUGUUUUUACCAAAUAAUGAGGAACUGUGUGAGACUUCUGGUAUGGUGUCACCCCACGGAUUUGAGCAGUCUUUUUCAGAUGUAUUUCUGUGUAUAACAAUAAAGAAGUUAUGCCUUGUA